rnacentral:lncRNA from 1 species
AGAGAAGCCAUGCCCUGAAAACAACAUAGAGUUUCAGAAGGCUCAGAGGAAGAUGGCAGUGGGGGAGUGUUUCUUGACACUUAGUUUCCCCACCUCCAUCAGUUGCUAGAAGUGUCUGUCAAACGUUAUGACAACCAAGAGAUUCUCCAUGUUUGUAAAAGCUUACUCUGAGCCACCUGUACGGGGUAGGAGUUGAGGCCUCAUGUCCUCUUCAUAAGGCACAGAUCAGAAUUGGGGAGAUGUCCCAGUGGUGCUUGCUGGACAAGCAUGAGGGACUGAGAUCAAUCCCAGCACCCACAUACAAAGCCAGGUGUUGUCGCUAUGCCUGUGACCCUGGUUCUGUGGGUCAUAAGUCAUAGAUGAGGAGCAGGACCACUGGGGCUUCCUGGCCAUCAGCCUUGCUCCAAGUUCAGCGAGAGAUCUUGUCUUAAGGGAAUAAGAUGCAAAGUGAUAAAGCAGAACACAUGACAUCUCCAUCUAACCAAAGAGUUCAUGAGCAUUGGUGUGCCAUGUGUAACACAGUGCACACACACACACACACACACAUGCACUAAUGCACACACACACACUUGCACACCACUCCAUCUCCAUAAUUUCUGGUUCAAUAGGGGACACAGGACAUUUCUACCAAAUUCCUAGGUAUUUCUUAUUAUGCUGCAGAAAACUUUGAAAUUGUUGUUUUUCAGCAGAAGGCAAAAAGACCCAUGAGAAAGGUCAAAGAUGUGGCUGAGGACAAUAGAAGAGAACAGAAAUGAAGAAACAGAAUGGUUAUCUGGCAGUGACGGCUGGCUGGCACUCAGGAUUAAAGCAGCCAUAUCUAAGGAAGUGGAUCUGACAAGACUUGGCGAUUUCUGGGUCAGUUUUGGUGGUAAGAGACCAGACCCGAGGCCUAAAGCUGAUAACUAUGGUUGGUUGGGGCAUUUACAAAGGAGGAGGUAAGUGAAUUUGGGGUAUAGAGUAUAUUAAAUAAUAGAUGGUGCUAAAGAUGAUUGUGGAUGUGUAAAGAUGACACAACCACACAUUAAUUAUUCCUCUCCCAAGAAACAAGGCAUACAUCCAUCUCUUCUUAUUGAGCCUGGAGAUAUUUAUAUCUGCUUUGACUAACAGAGCCUGGUGAUUCUCAGCAAGCCAAGGGAAAGAUAGUGAAGCCAGCAUGCAUCUUAUAGAUAAAUGAUCCCCCAAAGCUGAAGAUUAGUCAGUGAUCCCUCUUGGAACUGCAUGGAAGGAAAGAAUUCUCCAGCUGACUGUUCUUCAAGAUCUUGACCUACAAAUUGAUGAAAUAUAAACAAAUGGCUGUCAUAUUAAGACACUAAAUUUUUGGUAAUUUGUUUUCCAGAAAUACAUUGCUAGAUACCACUACUAAAGACUGGCCUUACGAAUUUCCAUCUAUGGAACAUUGUCCUACCAUACUGUGGUGUAAUUAUUUUCUAAGGACGAGGUGGUAUCCUGCAUCAAGAACAAAGGCUUGCACAGCAGGCACCCAUUUGCCAUCUCUUCCUUCAGUUCCUACCCAAGAAACUGACCUGACUCACUGGGCAGCAAAGUCUAGGGUAGAUAUGCUGCCUGCUUUGUUCUCUGUGCUCUCAGCAGGCUGAACUGGGCCCUUCGGCUGGCUUCCACAGGCUUCCGCAGUGUGCUUUAGCCUGUCCUGUCUGAAGACAUUCACAGGAGGGGCAUUCUCCAAAAUAAGAAACAGGGCCAGGGCAUUCAGUUCCUCUAGAAAUACACAUGGGUUUGAACCUAAAGUGGGUAAUUGUGUGCAGAAACAUGUUUUGAGUUUUGCCUCUCCCAGAACCUUUGAAAAAUAGAACAUAAUGUGUAGCCAAACCCCCA